rnacentral:rRNA from 1 species
GAUGAACGCUGGCGGCGUGCCUAAUACAUGCAAGUCGAGCGAACAGACGAGGAGCUUGCUCCUCUGACGUUAGCGGCGGACGGGUGAGUAACACGUGGAUAACCUACCUAUAAGACUGGGAUAACUUCGGGAAACCGGAGCUAAUACCGGAUAAUAUAUUGAACCGCAUGGUUCAAUAGUGAAAGACGGUUUUGCUGUCACUUAUAGAUGGAUCCGCGCCGCAUUAGCUAGUUGGUAAGGUAACGGCUUACCAAGGCAACGAUGCGUAGCCGACCUGAGAGGGUGAUCGGCCACACUGGAACUGAGACACGGUCCAGACUCCUACGGGAGGCAGCGGUAGGGAAUCUUCCGCAAUGGGCGAAAGCCUGACGGAGCAACGCCGCGGGAGUGAUGAAGGUCUUCGGAUCGUAAAACUCUGUUAUUAGGGAAGAACAAAUGUGUAAGUAACUAUGCACGCCUUGACGGUACCUAAUCAGAAAGCCACGGCUAACUACGUG